UCCAUCGUGAGGUGGAAUCUGAAGGAAGGUGUAGGCAAAUCUCUGGUCUGACGAACAGAAAUCACAUCAGGCUACAGUUAAGGAUAAGACUGCAAGACAAGUCGAAGUCCAAUAACUACUCGGAAUUAACUGUAGUAAAUGUGGCAGAUAGAUGGAGAGGAAGAUUGCGUC
rnacentral:ncRNA from 1 species